rnacentral:rRNA from 1 species
UCCUGGCUCAGGAUGAACGCUAGCUACAGGCUUAACACAUGCAAGUCGAGGGGCAGCAUUGAGAUAGCUUGCUAUUCAGAUGGCGACCGGCGCACGGGUGAGUAACGCGUAUCCAACCUUCCCUAUAGUAGAGAAUAGCCCGGCGAAAGUCGGAUUAAUACUCUAUGUUUUCCAAUGCAGACAUCUAAAAUGGAACAAAGGUUUACCGCUAUAGGAUGGGGAUGCGUCUGAUUAGAUAGUAGGCGGGUAACGGCCCACCUAGUCUUCGAUCAGUAGGGGUUCUGAGAGGAAGGUCCCCCACAUUGGAACUGAGACACGGUCCAAACUCCUACGGGAGGCAGCAGUGAGGAAUAUUGGUCAAUGGGCGAGAGCCUGAACCAGCCAAGUAGCGUGCAAGGAUGACGGCCCUAUGGGUUGUAAACUGCUUUUAUAUAGGGAUAAAGUGCACUACGCGUAGUGUUUUGUAGGUACUAUAUGAAUAAGGACCGGCUAAUUCCGUGCCAGCCGCUGC